CUCAAGAGGGGUUCCUCAAAGGUUCCUCAAGAGGUUCUCAGAGGUUCCUCAAGGGGUUCUUCAAAGGGUUCUGAGGUUCCUCAAGGGGUUCCUCAAGGGGUUCCUCGAGGGGUUCUCAGAGGUUCCUCAAGGGGUUCUUGGAGGUGUUCCUCAAGAGGUUCCUCAAAAGGUUCCUCAAGGGGUUCUCAGAGGUUCCUCAAAGGGUUCUUGGAGGUUCCUCAAGGGGUUCCUCAAGAGGUUCCUCAAGGGGUUCCUCAAAAGGUUCCUGAAGGGGUUCCUCAAGGGGUUCUCGGAGGUUCUGAGGGGUUCCUCAAGGGGUUCCUCAAGGGGUUCCUCAAAAGGUUCUCAGAGGUUCCUCAAGGGGUUCUCGGAGGCUCUGAGGGUUUCCUCAAGAGGUUCCUCAAGGGGUUCCUCAAGGGGUUCUCAGAGGUUCCUCAAAGGGUUCUCAGAGGUUCUGAGGGGUUCCUCAAGAGGUUCCUCAAGGGGUUCCUCAAAGGGUUCUUGUAGGUUCCAAGGGGCUCCUCAAAAGGUUCUUGGAGGUUCCUCAAGGGGUUCCUCAAGGGGUUCUCAGAGGUUCCUCAAAAGGUUCCUCAAGGGGUUCUCAGAGGUUCCUCAAAGGGUUCUUGGAGGUUCCGAGGGGUUCCUCAAGAGGUUCCUCAAGGGGUUCUCAGAGGUUCCUCAAGAGGUUCUUGGAGGUUCCAUGAGGGGUUCCUCAAGGGGUUCUCAAAAGGUUCCUCAAAGGGUUCUCAGAGGUUCCUCAGGGGUCCUUUAAGGGGUUCCUUGAGAGGUUCCUCAAGGGGUUCCAAGAGGUUCCUCAAGGGAUUCCUUGAGAGGUUCCUUGAGAGGUUCUCAGAGGUUCCUCAAGGGGUUUCUGGGGGUUCCUCAAGGGGUUCCUCAAGGGGUUCCUCAAGAGGUUCUCAGAGGCUCCUCAAGAUGUUCCUCAAGAGGUUUCUGGGGGUUCCUCCCGGGGUUCCUCCCUCGGCGCCGGUGGGGCGGUCGGUGCGUCAUCGUCGUUGUCGUCGGUGGUGGUGGUGGAGCCGUUCCCGGAGGGGUUGAAGGCCGCGAUGGACCCUUUGUCCAAAAACAAAGCCGAGAAAUAGAGAAAUAUAUAUAUAAAAGAUAUAUGAGAAAUUUAGUGACUUCUUCUGGAGAAGCUGUGGUGGUCCUUCUCCUCCUCCCUCAUCUUUGCCCCCUUUUUUGUUGGACCUUCUCCGAAGCACCACCAGAAGAUGCCCCAAAAAGCGGCGCUUUGUCCUCCUCCGCUUUGGACGUUUCUCCUCAGCGGUCACCGCAGGAGACGUUUCUGAUCUUCUCCACCGGUGGAGCUCUCCAAAGGACCUCCUCGACGGUCGUUUCGCCCUCGGAAUGAAGGUGGAGAGAUGGUUUCUUUUGGUCUUCAGACGCUUGUGGAGAUGUCCCACUCUUUCCUUGGGCUUCUGAGGAGCUCUGAGGAGCUCUGAGGUCCACUCUGUUGUUACCGUUGUGCCUUUCUAACGCCGUCACGCGGAGCCCGACGGGACUUGGGACAUCCCACCGCCCUCCUUGGACCUCCUGGAGGUGGUGGAUACGUGGUUAUGGGGUUGAGUUGGGUCUUCGGUUGUCUCCACGGGACCGAAUCUCAACGGUGUUUCUUUCUUGAAGACCAUUGGUGGUGUCCUCCAAAGGCGACGUCGCACUUCGUUCGCCACUGAGAAGGUGACGGCUCCGACCGAGGUGGACCUGGAGCUCCUCCUCUUCCGAGAAGACCUCAAUCCACCCUCUUUCCCACAAGGGGUGGACUUCAUGGUGGAAAGAGGUAUCUCAGCGACCUUCUGGCCCUCAAAUCAGCCCUUCUCAGCCCUCUGAGGACAACUCCUUCUCCAGGAGGUCCUUCCAAGCUCUCCACGGUGAUUCCAUGGUCCCAUCCGCUCUCCUGAGGUCCUUCUCGAUGGUCUCAUCCACUCUCCUGAGGUUCUCGAUGGUCCCAUCUGCUCUCCUGAGGUCCUUCUCGAUGGUCUCAUCCGCUCUCCUGAGGUUCUCAGUGGUCCCAUCCACUCUCCUGAGGUCCUCAGUGGUCCCAUCUGCUCUCCUGAGGUCCUUCUCGAUGGUUUCAUCCGCUCUCCUGAGGUCCUCAAUGGUCUCAUCUGCUCUCCUGAGGUCCUCAAUGGUCCCAUCCACUCUCCUGAGGUCCUCAAUGGUCCCAUCUGCUCUCCUGAGGUCCUCCUCAAUGGUCUCAUCCGCUCUCCUGAGGUCCUCAAUGGUCCCAUCCGCUCUCCUGAGGUCCUUCUCGAUGGUCGGAGAGGGACAGUUUGUCCAUUAUGACACAACGAGCGCUGAAGGUGGUGGUUCUCCACCUGAAGGUGGUGGUUCUCCACCUGAAGGUGGUGGUUCUCCACCUGAAGGUGGUGGAUCUUCAGCCUCUUUGAGGUCCAAGUCCUCCUCCUCGUUUCUACUCAACGCUGGAAUCCACCCUUUGAGGGUCUCCGACCUCAUCCGAGCGGUGCUCAACCCCACCAGAAGGUCUGAAGAACCCAAAGCUCUGAAGAUCUCACUUUGAAGGUUCUUUCCUCCAAAGCUCUGAAGACCAAAACGUGGUUGAAAGUUCUCCAAACUCAUCGCUACGUCCCAGAGCGGUGGAAACUGAGGAGAAACCGUGGUCCUUGGGAUGGUCCAGCGCUGAAGAAACCACCGUUGAGGUGAAGAAGACCUCAGGUUGCGAUGGUGAUGGUCCUGGAGGUGGAGGAGACGCUCUCCAAGAGGCGCUGAGGAGCUCUGGGUUGGUUUCUCCUCUUGAGAAGGUCUUAAAGGCUUUGUGGAGGCGGUUCUUGGGUGGUGGAGACAUCUCAGCUGCUUCCUCCGAAGGGGUUGAGACAAUCCCUGAAGGUUCUUCCAAGAAAAAAAAGAAGGAAAUGGGAAUUUCGGAGCCAUUUUUGGACCUUCUCCACCUCAAAGGCGCUGCGUGGAGAACAUCUCCGAGAUGGAAAGAAGGGCUCCAUCCUCGCCGUGACGUGAGUUGAGGCUUCCGAGGGUUUUCCGCUGCGUCGGAAUGAGAGAUCCUUUGGGAUUGGAGGUUCUGGAGAAGGAGUUGAGAAGGUGUCUUCUGCGCCGGUGGGAGAGGAACCGCCCGCGUCCCCUCGUGGCCUUCACGACGUCCCCCGAAAGGCGCCCACUCAGUGCCUCCCUUUUGGUUGUGCUUUGCUUUUUGCUACAAAAAAUACUACAAAAAAAACCCGGAAUCCCCCGAAAAGGGGUUAAAAA